UACAGAGGUCCCGAGCGUUUGUUCGGAUUCAUUGGGCGUAAAGGGUGCGUAGGCGGCGGGGCCAGUCUGAUGUGAAAUCCCGGGGCUCAACCCCGGAACUGCAUUGGAUACUGCCUUGCUAGAGUACUGGAGAGGGAACUGGAAUUUACGGUGUAGCAGUGAAAUGCGUAGAGAUCGUAAGGAAGGCCGGUGGCGAAGGCGAGUUCCUGGACAGUUACUGACGCUGAGGCACGAAGGCCAGGGGAGCAAACGGG
rnacentral:rRNA from 1 species